AGUAGAAGCUGCUAGCCUGAAAGGGUAAUUGACCUCCUAGCCAAUCAAGCCCAGUUUCGCUGUUGCCUCUUCUAAGUUCUGUUAAAAUCGGUCUUGCCCCAGAUCCCGUAGGAACAGCGUUCCCACUGCUUGUUCAUCAUUUGAAAAACCCUAGCCAUAGAGAGAUGGCAAUCCACAUUUCUGUUUGGUUACAUUUUGGGGCCUCCCAACCUGAUAGUUGAACCAUCAGCGUGUCAGAGAAUCAACAACCUAUAUGCUGCAGACAGACUGAAAGCCAAAUCCAGUUCUCGGGACACAAAACGGGACAAACAAGACAACAGCUGGCACUUGAAGAGAAAAGAAUAGAUAACCAUUAAGAAACAAUGUGAAACUUUACCUUCCCUUUUUGACUGGGCACUAGAGAGAUCCAGAAGAGUUGACACUGGUGAAACAGUUACCUAUCCCAGUCUUGAAAUGGUGUCCUUGUGUGGGAGCCUCCCUAUGGAGUCUGCAUGUGCCCAGAAGUUUUGGUGGGAGAAUUGGAUCUGAUAUUCCCUGAUGCUGCCACAUUUUUUCUCAAGUAUAGUAAGGACUGCAGACUUUCAGUUUUCCUCAACUAAGUGAGAUGUCAGCCUUCUGUGUGGCUGGUUGCUGUUGGCAUGAGAGCAGGGUGAAUGAGGACAAGACCUGAGAAGAUCAAAAAGUUAUUUUCCACUGUGGGAACUAUGGGUGGAAGCUUAGUGUUGUGGUUGACCAUCAGUGACUCUGUCAGAUAAUGGAGAGCAAUCUUUUGUCAAUGAAAGAUGACAGUUUUGCUCAAGAAAUACUGUGGACCCUCAAUGACCCAGAAGCCUAUCGCAGUUGGGGGAAGAAGCCACAAGACAAAAACAAUGGGCAGCAAGGAAGCAGAUUCUCCUCAGAACCCUCAAAAGAAGUGCCUUAAUACUUCUGACUUCAGAAAGUAACACCUGAGCAACACAUGGAUCAGGACCUCCUGGUGGUUGUACUUCAAGACAUUCCAUGGUAAAGCUGUGACAUCUCAUCAUUGGAUCACCACCUCCACCUGUGUUUUCAGAGUCAUUGCAAUUCCACUUAAACUUGACUCUCAAAAAGGACUCCUUCUCCUGUAAUUUCUCCAACUCUGCUCUCACUAUAGAGUAUAAGUCUUUUUCUAACUCAAGUUUCCAUAGUUUGCAUGCCGAUUUUUUUCAAGGAUGCCCACAUUGUGUUGACUCCAUCCAGCCCCAGGUCAUUUCCUAAAAGGUUCAGAUUAACCAGGCUUUAACUGCUUCUGAGAACUGAAAUGAUAUGCUGGCAGCAAUCAGGCAUCAAAUCGCAUUUCUCCAACCUACAUGUCUCCACACAAUUUGGACAUUUUUGAACCCUGCACUGCUCUUGCAUCAUCCUCAACAUCAUUUUCCCCAGGAUCCAGAAUUUUCACAUGAUUGCACUUGAGGGCACGAGCAAACUCCUGACAGCACUUUGUUGUGAAGGAACAGUCUGGCAAGUCCAUGUUCUGCAGGUUGUGAUCUGGAUGGCUCAGUGUCUCUCACAGAAACUUAACUCCCUCAUAUCCCAGGUUAUUCUUCCACAGAUUCAGUUUUAUAAAGCUCUUAUUCUGGAGGAGAACAUCUGACAAAAACCUACACCUAGGAUGCACCAAGCUGGCAGAACCAGUGUAGCGGUCGCUCUAAGACACACUUGGGGUGAGUCACAGCAGCUUUACAUCAUCAUCUUGGAGCUGAGGAAAUUCCAAGUAUACUUGAGUCAUUCCCUGGGUGCUGGCAAGAAGCACGGCCAGUCCUGACGGCUGGUUGCUAACAAGUUGCAUUUCUCUAGUGGCAGCUGUUUCGGGGGACACUUGGACAUCUUAAUGGGCCCCCAAAGUCUUUUAAGCUCAACAUUAGAGAGAACAUUGUCCCCCAGCCUGAGGAAACUCAGACUUGAGUUCUUGCUGAGUUCUAUAAAGAGCUGAUGACAAACCAAGAGGUGAGGCCACACAAUUCCAACCACUGACACUUGAAGUUGCAGGUUGAGUGCCUCAGAGUUCUAAAAAAAUCAUCAUAGACACAGUAAUCCCUAAGUUGUUAGGGCUCAGGUCCAGCUGGGUCAGCUUGUGGUUACCAUGAAGCAUGGGACAGGCUCUUUCAGAAUCCUCACAGAAGACAUGAGUUUGCACACCAGGGUUUGAGAAAUGUGUGCUAUCAUCUCCCUAAAGAAAGCGUGUUAGAAUCGUCGUAAUCUAUCUUCCCAUCCUUGCAAACCUUGGCCCCAGAAAAACAAUGAUCGUAUUUUUCAAUUCAUUUAUUUUUAGCUGUAAAUGGAAUCAUAUAGUAUCCUCUUCAUCUUUCUCUUCUUUCAAUCAAUAUAUUGAUUUUUAGAUUCAACCAUGCUAUAGUGUAUUCACAUAGUAGUUAGCUCCUUGGCAUUGCUGAUGGCAUUAUACAAAUAUGCCACAAUUAUUUUCAUUUCUCUCUAGAUGAAUAUCUGUAUUAUUUUCAGGUUUUUCCUAUUAUGAAUAAUUUGAUAAACAUUCAUGUACAAGUAUUUUAUAGGCAAAUGCUGUAUUUUUCUUGGGUACAUUCCCAACACUAACACUGUUGGAUUAUAGGAUAGAAAUAUGUUUAACCUUACAAGAAACUCCUGAAGAGUUUUCCAGUGUGGUUAUACAGAAAGAGCUGUAGUUUCUUACAGGAAUGUAUGAGAGUUUCAGGGGUUCCUUAUACUUGUCAACACUUGAUGCCAUUAGCUGUUUAAAUGUUAGCUAUUCUUAUGGGUACCCACUGGUAUCUCUUUAUAGUUUACAUUUUAUUUCCCUGGUAAUAAAAAAAAUACUGGCCAU